CAUCAGCAUGCUCAUGAUGCUCAGUAUGAAUAAUCACAUUGUUCGGUGCAGACAUCCGCAGCAAACAAAGCACAAUCGAAAUCAUUUUGCGCGUAGUCGUAUUGUCUAGUUCUGUGUGUUCACCGUGCUAAUUUGUUAAUUACUUCAAAGUACUUUCGUUACACUCGAGGAAAAUGAGUAAAGCAACUAGUAUGCGCGUGUUGGUGAUGUGUUGCGCAGUUUUCGCGGUCGUUACGGUCGUUAAUGGCGGCGUUGCGCCCGAGGCGUCACCGGCGCCAUUUAUAAAACAAACGGAUUGCGGGGAUAUCUGCUCGCGUGCGUUUUGCGUCGCCAAGAAACGGGAGGAAUGCGAUUCGAAAACGCAGGUUUUCGUGCCGAGGAUGGGGAUUGUUAUUGUUGCGACGUGUGUAUUCCCAAAGUUGAAACGCCUGCAAGCAUCGACAAGAAAUGCAAACCCACCGAUUGUGCAACAAUUAAAUGCUACGACGUGCCCUCAAAAGUGUGUUUCGAUAAAGGAUUGGCAUUCGCCCCGAAAGAUGAAUGUUCAUGUUGUGAUGGAUGCGUCUAAACAUCUCCUAACAUUAUUUACAAAACAACACAACAAUUACACAUUUACAGUGUAAUAUUUUAUAAAAAAAAAACA